GCUCAAACACAUUCAGACAUGAAAAAUAUUCCGUUGACAUGGACCAGUCAGACAUCAAACAUGUCUACAUUGAAGGCUCUUCUAAGAAAGCUGACCAAUACGAAGCCUGUGAUUGGCUGGUAUUUUUGCAUGUGGUUGUGUUUACGUCCGAGAUACACCGAUAAUGCUGACACAUAUUUUCCACUGACGUGGACCAAUCAGACCUCGACACAGACAUCCGCUUCAAAGACCCUCACCAUCGUCAGCCCCCCAGAACCAGUCUCUGAGAUGGAGAGGUCAAGAGCUGUUCGCAUCGCUCUCGUCUGUGCUUUGUUCUCCAGGAUCUCUGGAGCAGAAGUGGAGAUGAGGGUCAGACAAGGAGACGACGUGACUCUCUACAGCGACUGUGUUUGGAAGAGUGGAUUUAAUAUAGUUUGGUUUAGAAACUCCUCAUGUGAGCAUCGACCUCCUCUCAUGAUAUCAACUCUAGAUUUGAUACGUGGUGCUGAUCCACGUUACUCUGCUGUGUGGAAUCCCUCCAGCAAAACUCAUGAUCUGUUGGUGAAGAACGUCUCUGAUUCAGAUGUGGGUCUGUACUACUGCGCUGUGUAUGAGAAAAACAUCACCAAAGACGAAAAGGGAGUUUUACACUCUGAAGUUAUUUAUCAUUACGGGAAAAGAACCACUCGACUCUCUCUCCUUGGUCCUUGUACUGAUCUCCCCCAGACCCCCUCAACCCCUCCUGUCUCAGACUGCAGCGUCUGCUGGAAGCUGCUGGUCAGUGUGUGUCCUGUGUGUGUUCUCCUCUCCUCCACCUGUCUGUACUGCAUCUACAGACACACAAAGAAAGCAGAAGCAGAACCUGGUCAAGAACGGAUGAACAAAACCCAGAGGCGGAAAAGUAGAACAACUGAUGAGGUUGAAGGAGAUGAGGUUUGUUAUGCUUCGUUGGAUCUCCCGAGCAGAGGACAGAAGCAUCUGAAGAAGAAGAAGAAGAAGAAGAAGAGAGUUGAGAGCUCUGAUUUCAGCACCUAUUCUGUAGUUAAAACUGAUAACAUAUGAAAAAUGUACCACAGUACUGUAAUAACUGGCACAUGGAAGGUAAAUGUCCAUUUAGUCUUAGAGAGGAUGUUCAACAUGCAUAAAGUAAAAUGUACUUUUAUUUAUGUAAAAUGAACUAGGAUGCAUCAUUUACUCAAAGACGAGACAAUUCAUUUAAGUUUGCAACUUUUUUUGGCACAAAAUGUAAAUUAAAAAUAAAAAAGCAUGCAUUUCACUGCAUUGCUCUUAAAAUAGGAUUGAGA
ensembl:lncRNA